rnacentral:rRNA from 1 species
GAUGAACGCUGGCGGCGUGCCUAAUACAUGCAAGUCGAGCGAACAGACGAGGAGCUUGCUCCUCUGACGUUAGCGGCGGACGGGUGAGUAACACGUGGAUAACCUACCUAUAAGACUGGGAUAACUUCGGGAAACCGGAGCUAAUACCGGAUAAUAUAUUGAACCGCAUGGUUCAAUAUUGAAAGACGGUUUUGCUGUCACUUAUAGAUUGAUCCGCGCCGCAUUAGCUAGUUGGUAAGGUAACGGCUUACCAAGGCAACGAUGCGUAGCCGACCUGAGAGGGUGAUCGGCCACACUGGAACUGAGACACGGUCCAGACUCCUACGGGAGGCAGCAGUAGGGAAUCUUCCGCAAUGGGCGAAAGCUUGACGGAGCAACGCCGCGUGAGUGAUGAAGGUCUUCGGAUCGUAAAACUCUGUUAUUAGGGAAGAACAAAUGUGUAAGUAACUAUGCACGUCUUGACGGUACCUAAUCAGAAAGCCACGGCUAACUACGUG